rnacentral:rRNA from 1 species
CACGUAGGGCGCAAGCGUUGUCCGGAAUUAUUGGGCGUAAAGAGCUCGUAGGCGGUCUGUUGCGUCCGCUGUGAAAACUCGGGGCUUAACCCCGAGCCUGCAGUGGAUACGGGCAGACUAGAGGUAGGUAGGGGAGAAUGGAAUUCCCGGUGUAGCGGUGAAAUGCGCAGAUAUCGGGAGGAACACCGGUGGCGAAAGCGGCUCACUGGAUCUCUUCUGACGCUGAGGCACGAAAGCUAGGGUAGCAAACGGG